UUACCAGCUUGACAUGAAUGAAAGCCCUUCCGGCGCAGGUGUUGCAUGGCUGUCGUCAGCUCGUGUCGUGAGAUGUUGGGUUAAGUCCCGCAACGAGCGCAACCCUAUUUUAGUUACAAACUUGUAAAGGACUCUAGAAGACCGCCGUGUAAGCGGAGGAAGGUGGGGAUGACGUCAAGUCAGUACGGCCCUUACGCUGGGCUACACACGUGCUACAAUGGGGUACAAAGGGCACCGCGAGGGGAGCAAUCCCAAACCGCCUCAGUUCGGAUUGCAGGCUGCAAUUCGCCUGCAUGAAGCUGGAAUCAUUAGUAACCCUGAUCAGCACGUAGGGUGAAUACGUUCCCGGGUCUUGUACACACCGCCCGUCAAGUCACCGAAGUGGGUGACCGAA
rnacentral:rRNA from 1 species